UUGAACGCUGGCGGCGUGCCUAACACAUGCAAGUCGAGCGGUAACAGGUGUAGCAAUACAUGCUGACGAGCGGCGGACGGGUGAGUAACGCUUGGGAAUCUGCCUAUUAGUGGGGGACAACCCGGGGAAACUCGGGCUAAUACCGCAUACGCUCUACGGAGGAAAGCCGGGGACCGCAAGGCCUGGCGCUAAUAGAUGAGCCCAAGUCGGAUUAGCUAGUUGGUAGGGUAAUGGCCUACCAAGGCGACGAUCCGUAACUGGUCUGAGAGGACGACCAGUCACACCGGAACUGAGACACGGUCCGGACUCCUACGGGAGGCAGCAGUGGGGAAUAUUGGACAGUGGGCGAAAGCCUGAUCCAGCGACGCCGCGUGGGUGAAGAAGGCCUGCGGGUUGUAAAGCCCUUUCAGUGGGGAAGAAAAGCCUCGACCUAACACGUCGGGGUCUUGACGUAACCCAUAGAAGAAGCACCGGCUAACUCUGUGCC
rnacentral:rRNA from 1 species